rnacentral:rRNA from 1 species
AACGCGAAGAACCUUACCUGGGCUUGAACCGCACCGGACCAUCUUUGGAAACAGAGACUUCCCGCAAGGGACCGGUGUAGAGGUGCUGCAUGGCUGUCGUCAGCUCGUGCCGUGAGGUGUUGGGUUAAGUCCCGCAACGAGCGCAACCCUUACUCGUAGUUGCCACCCGCAAGGGGGAACUCUACGAGGACUGCUCCGGAUAACGGAGAGGAAGGUGGGGAUGAGGUCAAGUCAGCAUGGCCUUUAUGUCCAGGGCCACACACGUGUUACAAUGCGCGCCACAAAGCGUCGCGAACCCGCGAGGGGGAGCUAAUCGCAAAAAAGCGCGCUCAGUUCGGAUUGCAGUCUGCAACUCGACUGCAUGAAGCUGGAAUCGCUAGUAAUGGCGCAUCAGAACGGCGCCGUGAAUACGUUCCCGGGCCUUGUA